rnacentral:antisense_RNA from 1 species
AGACUGUCAUUUUGAACUUUGUCUUACUCUGAAAGCAGAAAAUGGCCGAAAGGUUUUGGCAAGCAACCUUCUUGGGAGAAAUGCAAAUACCAUUGAUUUUUCGAGGCCUCUCAUGGAUGAAGACAUGCUCCUUUUUACAAGUGUGGUCAGGUUCCCUGAUAACUCUUUGUAUGAUCAUGUGGUUGCAGUACCUUGCAGGAACGGGAACGUCAUUCUGAGGGUAGUCCACAUGCAAGUGUUCUAAGGUUGACAUCACUGCUUCAUCAUUCACCUCAUUUUCCCAGAACAGAAGCACCAAGAAAAUUAUCACCAUUAUUAUCAUCAGAGUGCAGAUCCUUUUUUAAUAGCGAGAACAUUUAAAACCUACUCUUUGAAUAAUUUUGAAAUCUACAAAAUGGCAGCAUGGCCCAGGAGUGUGACUGGCAGUGAAGGAGCUGGGAAGACCUUGGAUGCAGGAAGGUCAUUUAAAGCAAAAGAUUAAGAAGCAGCAAUGCCCCUCUUGUGGCAAGAGUUGGCAGCGUGCGGUUGGUAUGUCAACGCAUCCAAGGUCCAAGGGCCUGGAUUGUCUGCCAAAUGCUUGGGAGUUGUUUGAUCAGGUUGACAUGCUCCAACAGCAUUGUGGACUGGGCCCACACCUACGCUGAGGUGACCAAUGUCUCCAACUGUUGGAUCUGCUCCACCUUCCAGCAGCAGCUGCGGAGAGUUUGCCCUGGAACGCGUAUCCUGCUUCUGUUAAGAACUGGACAUGGCUAGAAGCUUGGGGUCCCACGGACAAUGGGUGGGAUGCCACAGGGCGGGCUUUGGAUAGGAGGCAUCACAAAACCCAUGGCAAACCUGGCCCUUGGCUGACUCGUAGUGUCCAUGAUGGAUGGAGCUGGCUAAUGGGAGAACACGUGGUGCCCCCAUUGCAGGUAUCACAAUGUAUAGAGCAGCACUGGGGUAAAGUCACUGUGGGAUGGUUGCCUACUGAGGUUUGUGCAAACAUAACAUGUGUCACCACACCAAGGGUGCAGUGGAACAAGCGGCCUUACCAAGGCCAGGCCCCCAUGGACUUUGUGCCCCCUGGGAGUUUAUGGGUCUGUGGGGACACAGGAUGGCCAUAUCUCCCAGCCAACUGGACUGGACAUUGUACCUGGGGUUGGCCCUAUGUGCCUGCCAUUGGGCUUCCCACAUUGCCUAGUCGCCGCAUAACUGGGAGCCACUGUGUUCCUGCUUUUUCCCAGUGCAGCAGGCCCUCUAGUGGUUCUAUCCCUUAGCAAUGACUAUCCCUGGAGCAGGCGUCAUUACUAUAGAAAAGCAAGUUGCAGCCUUUGCAGACCACACAGCUCGGUCCCAAGUUGCCCUCCUUUUGUUAACUGAUGAAGUUGAUCAGAUCAGGAAGGUGGUGCUGCAAAACCAGAUGGCCUUAGACAUAGUCGCAGCUGCCCAAGGUGGCACCUGUGCCCUUGUAGGGACACAAUGUUGUACAUUUAUCCCUGACAACCACUGGAAUAUAAUGGCAGCUUCACAAGGGGUGUCAUAGGAGAUUAAGGUGAUUGAGCACCUUACUGAUGACCCCACGCAGAGAUGGUGGGCGUCUUUGGGAUCUGGCCUACAAUGGGCUCUCAUAAUCAUAGGUAGCAUAGCAGGAAUAUUAGUGGUAGGUUGUUGCUGUCUGUGUUGUUGCUGUGGCCUAUGGGUCCAGGGUGCUGCCACAUGUGCACGGGUCCCCACCAAGAGGAUUCCCUGGCCUAGUGGGUGGAGUGUAAGGAACAUGGCUGUGUGCAGCCAAGCAGGCAUAGGCCAAGGUAAACAGCCUAGAUGACUCAGUGGGAUUGGGGCGCAAGUGCACAGUCCCAUAUCUUAUAUAAUCAUAGCCAUGUAGGCACAACAUAAAGAAGCUCCCCACCUGG